rnacentral:rRNA from 1 species
UACGGAGGGGGCGAGCGUUGUCCGAAUUUAUUGGGCGUAAAGCGCGUGUAGGCGGAUGGACAAGCCUGAGGUGAAAGGUUGGGGCUCAACCCCAUACAGUGCCUUGGGGACUGUUCGUCUGGAGGCCGGCAGAGGAGAGUGGAAUUCCUGGUGUAGCGGUGGAAUGCGUAGAGAUCAGGAAGAACACCCAUGGCGAAGGCAGCUCUCUGGGCCGGUACUGACGCUGAGACGCGAAAGCGUGGGGAGCAAACAGG